rnacentral:hammerhead_ribozyme from 1 species
AUUCAUCUGACGAGUCCCAAAUAAGACGAAACCUGCGUCAAAUUGGAU